rnacentral:rRNA from 1 species
AUUGAACGCUGGCGGCAGGCUUAACACAUGCAAGUCGAGCGGAGAUGAGGUGCUUGCACCUUAUCUUAGCGGCGGACGGGUGAGUAAUGCUUAGGAAUCUGCCAUUUAGUGGGGGACAACAUUCCGAAAGGAAUGCUAAUACCGCAUACGUCCUACGGGAGAAAGCAGGGGAUCUUCGGACCUUGCGCUAAAUGAUGAGCCUAAGUCGGAUUAGCUAGUUGGUGGGGUAAAGGCCUACCAAGGCGACGAUCUGCAGCGGGUCUGAGAGGAUGAUCCGCCACACUGGGACUGAGACACGGCCCAGACUCCUACGGGAGGCAGCAGUGGGGAAUAUUGGACAAUGGGCGGAAGCCUGAUCCAGCCAUGCCGCGUGUGUGAAGAAGGCCUUUUGGUUGUAAAGCACUUUAAGCGAGGAGGAGGCUACUGAGACUAAUACUCUUGGAUAGUGGACGUUACUCGCAGAAUAAGCACCGGCUAACUCUGUGCCAGCCGCCGCAGUAAAAC